ACGGGUGAGUAACGCGUGGGAAUCUACCCAUCCCUACGGAACAACUCCGGGAAACUGGAGCUAAUACCGUAUACGCCCUUUGGGGGAAAGAUUUAUCGGGGAUGGAUGAGCCCGCGUUGGAUUAGCUAGUUGGUGGGGUAAAGGCCUACCAAGGCGACGAUCCAUAGCUGGUCUGAGAGGAUGAUCAGCCACAUUGGGACUGAGACACGGCCCAAACUCCUACGGGAGGCAGCAGUGGGGAAUAUUGGACAAUGGGCGCAAGCCUGAUCCAGCCAUGCCGCGUGAGUGAUGAAGGUCUUAGGAUUGUAAAGCUCUUUCACCGGAGAAGAUAAUGACGGUAUCCGGAGAAGAAGCCCCGGCUAACUUCGUGCCAGCAGCCGCGGUAAUACGAAGGGGGCUAGCGUUGUUCGGAAUUACUGGGCGUAAAGCGCACGUAGGCGGAUAUUUAAGUCAGGGGUGAAAUCCCAGAGCUCAACUCUGGAACUGCCUUUGAUACUGGGUAUCUUGAGUAUGGAAGAGGUAAGUGGAAUUGGGAGUGUAGAGGUGAAAUUCGUAGA
rnacentral:rRNA from 1 species